UACGUAGGUGGCAAGCGUUAUCCGGAAUUAUUGGGCGUAAAGCGCGCGUAGGCGGUUUUUUUAAGUCUGAUGUGAAAAGCCCACGGCUCAACCGUGGAGGGUCAUUGGAAACUGGAAAACUUGAGUGCAGAAGAGGAAAGUGGAAUUCCAUGUGUAGCGGUGAAAUGCGCAGAGAUAUGGAAGGAACACCAGUGGCGAAGGCGACUUUCUGGUCUUGUAACUGACGCUGAUGUGCGAAAGCGUGGGGGAUCAAAACAGGAUUAGAUACCCGGCGU
rnacentral:rRNA from 1 species